UACGAAGGGGGCUAGCGUUGCUCGGAAUCACUGGGCGUAAAGCGCACGUAGGCGGCUUUUUAAGUCAGGGGUGAAAUCCUGGAGCUCAACUCCAGAACUGCCUUUGAUACUGAGAAGCUUGAGUCCGGGAGAGGUGAGUGGAACUGCGAGUGUAGAGGUGAAAUUCGUAGAUAUUCGCAAGAACACCAGUGGCGAAGGCGGCUCACUGGCCCGGUACUGACGCUGAGGUGCGAAAGCGU
rnacentral:rRNA from 1 species